AACUUAGUUUUAGCUCUUGUCAGCGUUGGAAAUGCCAGGACCAAGAUAUGAUGCUCAGAAAUGCAUGGGCAAAGUGCUCAUUGUGAAUAAUCAGACCUAUUAUGCUGAAAAGGAAAAAGACAAAAAUCGCCCCAUAGAUAUAGGGAAAGAAGACAAGAAGGUGGAAGAAUUGAUUAAGACAUUGAACGAUUUGGGGUUCACAGUUCUUGACGUUGAAAAGAACAAAACCAGAGAUCAGAUGAUUAAAUUGUUAAAAGAAGUUGCUGCUAAAAGCGAUUUUAAAGAUGAUUAUUGUUUUAUCUGCAUUGUCUUGUCUUAUGGACAAGAUGGCGUAAUUACUUGUUAUGAUGAGACUCAUUCACCCAAAAAUCCAACAGCACGUAUGCAACUACCUGUCUCUGAACUUCAAGAAUGUCUGAAGGGAGACAAAUGUAAAGGUCUUCUAUUGAAACCCAAGAUAUUCAUGUUACAGUUGGAAGAAGCUCUACGUGACUCAAAGGAUGGUAUUGAAACAGGAACACAAGCACCCAAGCCAGUGAAAAUCCCAAGAGAAGCAGAUUUUCUGACAUAUACAUGUGAAAGAGAAAGAGCUAUCACAACCUGGGAAAAAGGAUUGAAACAAUAUGUCCAGGAACCUAAACAACCCUUAGAGAUCCAAAAACUCCUGACACGGAUGAACCGUCUAUAUUGUGAAUAUUACAGCACACAAGGAAUGACAGUCGAUACACCUUGCGUGACCUCGCUUCUUACCAGAGAAGCUUAUUUGAAGAUAGAGGAGCCAAGCCCAAAAUAACAUAUAGUUUGUUGUCUCUAAGAUACAUGAACCAUCAACCAUUUUGUAUAUGUGUGUUAUAAAUUACUCAAGAAAUGAUUAAAUCAUUUGCAGCAUUGUAAUGAUGAUGUAAUAUUACAUUUGCAAUAAGCUUGAAUAACUUUAAUAAAACAUAUACACAUAUAUGAUUUAGAUUACAUGCUUAUAAAAAAGCUUACAUUUGUUUAAUUGUUAUUCAAUUGUUGAUAUGAUAAAAAUGUGAAUACCAGCUAUUUAGAACUUGGAUUUUGAGAAAACACAAUCAUAUUACUUGAUCGAUAUAUACAUAUGCAUCAAUGAAUUUUACAAACUGAUUUCUAAUAUAUAUAUUCCAAUAAUAUAUAUGAAAUGUAUUUCAUUAUUUUUUUAAUACAGUUGUUGGUUUUUUGUGUUUAAGCAACAUUUAUAGUGAUUGGUUGAUCAUAUCCAAACAAGUUUCAAUAAUGUCAUAUGUAUAAAAAAAAAUUAAGAGAUUGCAUGUAUGAAUAAUUCAGAAAAUGAUUUCUUGAUCUCCCUUUUUGGUUUCUGUAUUUAAUCAAUUGACUGGUCUUUGUUUCAUACAAGCUCAAUUAGACUACCAAUCAGCCUUGUACCCUCAUCGGAGGGGGGUGGUGCAUGCAAGAUAUUAUGAUCCUCUUGGUUGUUUUCCUUUUUCCUGAUUUUUUAAAAUUUAAUUCUAUUGUAACAUUUGUCUCAUUACAUAUGUACAUUAUAUGAAUGUAUAUCUAUUAUAUUAGCCUAUUGCCUUACUUGUACUUUUCUGUAAUUUAGAUUUACAAUGUUGCUUACUAUCAAAGUAAUUGUGUCAAUAUAAUGUAAUUGAGUUUUGAUGCCUUUUCUUUUUGUAUUAACAUUUGGUGUUUUGUUGAUGAAAUAUUCAUAGGCUUUAAUGACAUCAAUUGAUGAUUGUUGUUUAGUUUUAUGGACUUUAUACAUGUACUUGUAAUCCCUGGUCUCUUGCUGAAGUAAGAUAUCAUUUCCUGGUAUAUUUUUAUCUAGCUACAAGUGCUAUGUAUUAUUAACGCUAUAAUAUCUGUGCUUGAUCAUGAAGUCAUUAAGUUUCGUCUGAUCAUCAAAUUUGUCGCAAGCAAUAAUGUUUUUUCAGAAGAAUUUUUUUUAUGAAAAGUGUUUUUGUCCUUAAGAGUUUUAUGUUUCUAUUGGUCCUGAUUUUUCACAAUCUAACCUGUGCUCAAUCAUCAAACGGUGAUCUCUUAUAAAUCUCUAUGCAAAAAUAAUUUUUAUAACCAGUGUGAGAACCUUGAACCACUGAUUGCUCAAGAAGCAGCAUGAAUUACUAUUGUCUGAUAAUAUGCUACAUGUAUUUAUUCUAGUAUCAUUCAUGAUGUUAACUGUAUAAUAUCUAGUCUGUUGUUGUAGAUUUCAAAAUUUAUAAAAUCAGGGUAAUAUAUUGGACCUCGUCAAUUACGAUAAUUUUAUAUGCAACUUGAUAUAUGUUGCCCAAAACAUUCUAACAUUCAUUGGGCAUGAUAAAAAGUCAAUAACAACGAAUAUGUGUUCGAACCAUUUGUAUAUGUAUAUGCAAUAAAAUAUGUUCAAACUGUUAUAUAUUUGUAGCUUUUAUGCAUUAAAAAACUAACAUUUUCC
rnacentral:misc_RNA from 1 species